AAAACCAAAAUUUUGAAAUCAUAUCUAUGCUCGACCAACAGAAGCUACAGAGACUUACAGGGAGUUUAACAAGUUUACAGAGGAUUACUGAAGGUUCUAGUCAACAGAAAACAGUGCUUCUAGACAAAUAGACAGAACGUGGCCCACCACCUCUCACCUUUGUUCCCCCACGCGUUUUAAGAGAUAACAAAAUCUCUUCCUUCCUUCCCCACCACUCGAUCUCACCUUAUCCUCUCCCACCGACAUCAUCUCUCUCCCUCUCCAAACACUCGACCAAGAAAAUUCACUCUACCUCACGUUUCUCACUUGACCAAACCUCACCAUCUCUCUUCCUCUCCAAACACUUGACCGCACCAUCACACUCGACCUCACCAUUCACUCGAUCUCUCCCCUCCGGCUUCACCAUCCCUCGCUGCUUUGUCACCCUCUUACUCGACCAAACCUCACUCGUCAUCUCUCUCACCGCCUCCCAUUCACUCGAUUGCAACGCCCUCUUCUCCAUUCGCCGCUUACUCGACCUCACCGUUCUCUUCCUUCUCACCACUCGUCGUUCACUCGACCACUCCGCCCUUUACUUCGCCGGAAGCUUCACCGUCUCAUCGUUGUCUCCUUCUCACUCGACCUCUACUCGACCUCAUCUCCGCUUCCACCAUUCACUCGACCACAUCGCAAUUUGGACAAAGAAGCUCUUCAUUCGAUUUUCGACAAACGGCCAGACUUUCUCUCUCUCGUUCUCGUGAGCCAACUCGACUUCGCCGGAGCUUCUCGCCGUUCACUCGACCUCGCCAUUCAUUGCGCCUCCAUUCGUCUCUUUACUCGACCGCUCCUCAAACCGCCACCGUCUUCUCUAAAUUCGCCGUUUACUCGACCACGCUGUUACGUCUCUCAUUCGUGUACACUCGACCGCUAUACCCGAAGCCACAAUCUCACUAUACUCGACCGUUUCACUCGACCGCGUACUUGACUGGUUUAGUAUUUGUGUUUAUUUGAACUAACAUAUUGAUAUUUGGUUUUGAGUUACAUUCUUUUUCAGGGAAUCAAUAUGAGUAACUACAGUGGCGAAUCCUCCAUGGAUGCGGAUUACAACGUCGAUGAAGCUGAAUCUUGGUCAACUGGACCAGAGAGAGAGCAAUAGGCUUAUGAGAGCUUCAGAGCUGAGACCCAACGCUCAGUAGCUCGACGCAAUGAAAGGAGAGCUGAGAUUGCUAGAGGAAAGAGAGCGAUGACCAGCAGAUAUGAGUUGAUCGACGAAGAUAUUGACGUCGAGUAUGAGCCUGAGUCAUGGCACAGAGAAAAGAAGCUGUUGAACAAGCCUGAUGAAGUUAUAGUGAAGGAGUACAUCAGACUUUUCGAGCUGAACGACUUCUGGGGAACGAGGUACCCCUGUUAUGAGACUUUAGCCCAGCUGGGGCUACUGGAGGACGUACAACACUUAUUCGAGAGGUGCCAUCUGGAGACACUGAUGUCUUACCCGUACGUCGCUUACAAGAAGGAAACAAUAGAGUUUCUCUCCACUCUGCAAGUGGAGACGUAUCAGGGACUUACUGCAGUUGAGCUGGAGAGUGAAGGGUUGGGGUUCUUGACGUUUUCAGUUAACGAGCAGCGUUACCAGCUAUCUAUCAAGAGCUUGGAAGGAUUAUUUGGUUUUCCCAGUGGAAAGGGAACUAAACCCAAGUUCGAGAGGGAAGAGUUGAAGGAUUUGUGGUUAACCAUUGGGAACGAUUUGGCACUCAACUCUGCAAGGUCUAAGAGCAACCAGAUUCGAAGCCCUGUGAUCCGCUACUAUCAGCGCUCAGUAGCGAAUGUUCUGUACCCCAGGGAAUCUACAGGCACCGUGUCUAACACACACAUGGAGAUGAUUGAUUAUGCACUCAAGGGCAUUCUCCGGAGAACAAAGGGGAAGAAGGUCCUAAAGGGCGACCUUAAUGAUACACCACCGGUUAUGCUUCUGUUGAUCCACCUGUGUGGAUACAGGAAGUGGGCGCACACCAACGGGAAGAAGAAGGUGCGAGGAGCCCUUUGUGUAGGUGGCGUUGUGACACCGAUUCUGAUUGCAUGUGGUGUACCUCUCACGUCUCCGGGGUUUGAUCCGAGGAUGAUGGAUUUAGAUCACUUGCGUCGUUGUGAGUUUCUGGAGUACGACAUGGUUGGCGAUUUCUAUCGCUACAAAUUCGAGCACUCCCUGACCCGAACAGCCAACAUUUUGCUUCCCUGCAUCGAGGCCACAACCAUACUUCAGGGUGAGAACAUUGACUUCAGACCUGCGCGUGAUUACCUCUACUUUGAGAGCGCUCCACCGACUGAUGACAAUGUCCCUACGACGGAAGCUACAGAGGAUGAUAUUACUGAGAUGGAUGAGGAUAGGGAGGAGGAGUAUGAUACGAGCAUGUAUCAUUUCAGUGAGCACGUACCUCCAGCGCGGGAGAGCAAGAGCUUGAGUGAAGCUCACAGAAACAACAGUAAGUUGCAGAGGUGGUGCAAGAAACAAGAUAGGCUACUUAUCAAGUGCUUCAAAGCCAUCACGUUUCUGACGGACAAGAUAAGUUGUUUCUCUUCUACCACAGCUAUUCCGCAGGGAGAGCGUCCUCAGGACAUGCCUUCGAGGAGAUAUGACGCGCCAGGGCCAAGUCAUCACAGGCCUGAGCCAAGUCACCACAGGCCUGAGCCUAGUGACCGAGUAGUCCCACCAGUCCAUGCAAGGCAUUCAUCAUUCGAGCCUCGGGAGCUCGGGAGAAAGAAGAAGGCUGCACUCGCUCGGUCUAGCAGCAGGAGUACACGACUUCUCCAGUCCCGUAGCUUACGCGACGGCGGUGCUGGCCGCAGCAGAAGAAGAGAGGUCGAGUAUCAUCAGAGCGGUGCUGGCCGCGACGAAGGAGCAGAGGUCGAGUACCCCCAGGGGGAAGCUGAGACACAACAGGGAGAUUCUUCGAUCGCCUGGGAGCAAUCACAGGCAGAUAUUGACGACCAACUCCGCUCCUUCUUCCACUGAGGUAUGCACCUCACUCCACCAUUGUAAUAUACCAUCUCUUGUUUUUAUUUUGUUUUUGUGAUGUGUUUUGUCCUGAGUACUCUUUUCCAAAUUUGGUCACACAGUGGACUGUGUGAUUUAAGUUUGGGGAGGGCUCAGGAAGUGUGUGUUGCAUUGUAUAUAAUCUUGAGUCUACAUUCAUCUAAGGCAUAGAAAAACAAAAAAAAAAAAUUGAAAAAUUUCAGAAAAUGAUUUCACAAAAAUAGAGUGUUCAUGUAGUUGCAUUGCAUUUAAGAUCGAGUCUAGAGUGUUUCAUUUAGGAUUGUUGCAUAUGCAUAGGGGAUAAUGAUGAGAUAGCCUUGUAAGCAUUUUGGUUCACAAGAUAAGCUCAGUGCCCUCGUUGUUAGUUGUUUGAUGCGUUGUCAUUGAAAUUGAAGUAAAAACUGCACCAUGCCUAGAUUGCUCUACUCGACCACACUGUUAGGAUCUGAUAUCAUUCCCUAUCAAUUUGAACUUGAAUCCGAUUUAGAAUUAUCAUGUCUUGGCAUCGAAUUUGAACUCAUGGAUACCCUAAAAUACUUGGAUUUUCUUACUCAUUUUAACCACCCUUGUUGAUCCAAGUAGCUGACUCUCCUUAUUAGAGCAGUUAACCCAUACCAAAACCUGAACUUUCUUUCAAGCCUUAUAUCACUUGUGAGUGUUUGUGAGGUCUUAUUUCGAUUGAGCUUGGUAGAAAGUGUUAGGUUCGUAACGACAGAGAUAGUGUCUCAUGUAGUUCUAGUUCGCGUUCUUCGGACUGGAUAGGACUAGGUGGGCGCUUAUAUCAUGGGUUGGGAUGUGUUUAAAAGAAAAGAGGGAAUUCAUUGUUGAUGAGGAAAGGGAAAGAAUUCUAGGGGAAGUAAGCUAAAGAAGUUAGAAAUCUAGUAAAGGUUUUGGGAAUGUUAAAGAAAAGAAUGAGGUUCUUGUUAGCUAAAGUAGAAGGGUUAAAAGCCUUUGGUUUUAAAGAAAAAAAAA
rnacentral:sRNA from 1 species